rfam:Asian citrus Psyllid, Diaphorina citri - Florida Strain, whole genome shotgun sequence.
GUUCCCAUAGCGUAGUGGUCACUGCGCUCGCCUUGCACGCGGGAGAUCCGGGUUUGAUUCCCGGCGGGGUCA